AUUGAUUUUUUUAUUUACUGCAUGGAUUGGAAUCAUUGUUGCUUCAGCAGUUUUUGUUGUUGAUGUUAUUCUUCAAGUUAGGCGUCUAGACAAUAAAGAAGGAUCACAAGACCCAGGAAACCCACCUAGGGAACAGCUUGAAAAGCUCAACCAGAUGACCGUAAAGGCCUGAUGACAAUGAUCACAGAUAAAUCUGCAUGGAGGGAACUUCUCCAAUCUCCGUGUCUUCGUGGACUCCUCGUCUGACAAUUUCUUCUGUACUGAGGCCGCUGUGAGGUCUCAUGCAGUCAGCAAGGAAAUUACUUUACUUUCAGUUUCAUAAA